rnacentral:rRNA from 1 species
UACGGGGGGGGGCAAGCGUUGUUCGGAAUUACUGGGCGUAAAGGGCUCGUAGGUGGCCAACUAAGUCAGACGUGAAAUCCCUCGGCUUAACCGGGGAACUGCGUCUGAUACUGGAUGGCUUGAGUUCGGGAGAGGGAUGCGGAAUUCCAGGUGUAGCGGUGAAAUGCGUAGAUAUCUGGAGGAACACCGGUGGCGAAGGCGGCAUCCUGGACCGAUACUGACGCUGAGGAGCGAAAGCCAGGGGAGCAAACGGG